rnacentral:rRNA from 1 species
GACGAACGCUGGCGGCGUGCUUAACACAUGCAAGUCGAACGGAAAGGCCCUGCUUUUGUGGGGUGCUCGAGUGGCGAACGGGUGAGUAACACGUGAGUAACCUGCCCUUGACUUUGGGAUAACUUCAGGAAACUGGGGCUAAUACCGGAUAGGAGCUCCUGCUGCAUGGUGGGGGUUGGAAAGUUUCGGCGGUUGGGGAUGGACACGUGGCUUAUCAGCGUGUUGGUGGGGUAGUGGCUUACCAAGGCUUUGACGGGUAGCCGGCCUGAGAGGGUGACCGGCCACAUUGGGACUGAGAUACGGCCCAGACUCCUACGUGAGGCAGCAGUGGGGAAUAUUGCACAAUGGGCGGAAGCCUGAUGCAGCAACGCCGCGUGCGGGAUGACGGCCUUCGGGUUGUAAACCGCUUGCGCCUGUGACGAAGCGUGAGUGACGGUAAUGGGUAAAGAAGCACCGGCUAACUACGUG